rnacentral:lncRNA from 1 species
CUCCCUUCCACCCGUCCAGUGUGCUCUGGCACCUGUCAGCCCACCCAGUUCCGCUGCAGCAAUGGCUGCUGCAUCGACAGUUUCCUGGAGUGUGACGACACCCCCAACUGCCCCGACGCCUCCGACGAGGCUGCCUGUGAAAAAUGUGAGGCCUGGGGGAUAGAGGGGGUUGGGCAGCAGACAGGGAGGUCCUGACAGCCUUGCCCUGAACCCCUGGGAGACCCUUGUUGGGUCUGAGACUCUGACCUUUCCUCUCUGCAGACACGAGUGGCUUUGACGAGCUCCAGCGCAUCCAUUUCCCCAGUGACAAAGGGCACUGCGUGGACCUGCCAGACACAGGACUCUGCAAGGAGAGCAUCCCGCGCUGGUACUACAACCCCUUCAGCGAACACUGCGCCCGCUUUACCUAUGGUGGUUGUUACGGCAACAAGAACAACUUUGA